rnacentral:rRNA from 1 species
UACGUAGGGUGCAAGCGUUGUCCGGAAUUACUGGGCGUAAAGCGUGCGCAGGCGGUCUGUUAAGACCGAUGUGAAAUCCCCGGGCUUAACCCUGGAAAGCGGGUGGAUACUGCCGGGCUAGAAUCCGGGAGAGGGAUGCGGAAUUCCAGGUGUAGCGGUGAAAUGCGUAGAUAUCUGGAGGAACACCGGUGGCGAAGGCGGCAUCCUGGACCGGUAUUGACGCUGAGGCGCGAAAGCCAGGGGAGCAAACGGG